rnacentral:rRNA from 1 species
GAAUUCACUAGUGAUUCAGGCCUAACACAUGCAAGUCGAGCGGUAGAGAGAAGCUUGCUUCUCUUGAGAGCGGCGGACGGGUGAGUAAUGCCUAGGAAUCUGCCUGGUAGUGGGGGAUAACGUUCGGAAACGGACGCUAAUACCGCAUACGUCCUACGGGAGAAAGCAGGGGACCUUCGCGCCUUGCGCUAUCAGAUGAGCCUAGGUCGGAUUAGCUAGUUGGUGAGGUAAUGGCUCACCAAGGCGACGAUCCGUAACUGGUCUGAGAGGAUGAUCAGUCACACUGGAACUGAGACACGGUCCAGACUCCUACGGGAGGCAGCAGUGGGGAAUAUUGGACAAUGGGCGAAAGCCU